AUGCUCUGGGAAAAUGGAAAAGCAAGAAAAAAAAGACAAAUUUAAGUUACAUUUUCAAAAUUCAACUCAACUUAUCAUCAUUUUUCUUCAUGUGCUGUCUGUAUUAUCAACCAAAUUUGUUCAUCUAUUUGAAAACUUUCACGCAUCAACACAAUGUCAUUCACGUAAAUGGUUAAUAAUUCAAUGAAUUUCCAUCUCUUCCCAAAUAUAAUUCAUCAUUUAAGCUCCGAAGUCCCUGUUAAAACUCGAUAGUGAAGCAUAAUUUUUAUCUUGAUUUAAAAGGAAAAAAUCUUUGAAUUUCUUAGCUCCAUAAUAUUGUAGCUUUUUCAGCUAAUCUUUAUCAUUAUCCUCAUCGUUACCAGAAUCUAAUAUGUUUCACCUUAACUACAAUGGUUCUGAGAAAAGAAAGUGUUUCCAUGAAGACAGUAACAGGAAAGACAAGAAAGAAAAGCCCAUAAUACAAAGUAAAGGAAUAAAGAAGUAACGUCUAAUGAGAAAUGAUUGGAUCGAUAAAAAAGAUGAACUUUCAUGGUCAAAGUAUUCUUAGAUCUAAAAAUAACAUAUUGACCUCAGAUUGUUGGUUUCAAUUCCCUUGUAUCGAAUUAAUAUUAUCCUCCAAAUGAUGUUAUCAAAUAUGGAAAUUUAAUUGCAACGACGAUUCCAUCUACUGGCUUUUUACUUUUACCAUUAAUUGUUGGAUUGCUGAUGUUUACGAGACUAUCUAAUUGUUGCUCUCUUGUUAAAUCCAUCUUGAUUGUUUCACUUUCCUGGACAUCUAUUAUUUACUUUGACAGUUAAUUAAUGCCCUCAACUCAUCUAUAUUUCAUUAAUCAAACCAACAAAUUAAAAAGCAACAAAAGGCUUACAAUUACCAUGAACGCAAACAAGUAACUGAUUCCCAGGAUUUCAAGUUUUCCAAUCAUGAAUCAUGAAUUAAGACUGAAUUUUGCUCAAUCCAAAUUCAAGUUGUCAUUGAUAAUCUAAUUGAUCGAUGAAGCUUUCCCAGUCUCUCAACUGAAUGUCACCAUGUUAAACAUUCAUUAGUAACUCAGAUCGAAGCAAUGUAAAUUUUUCCUGUCAACUUGAGUUCAUCUUAAUUUAGACUAAUAUUUUCCAUUUUUGUCUCUAACAAUAUCAAAUCAAUUUGAAUAGUAAAAUUGCAACGUUGAAAUGCGAUUGUUCAUUUAGACUAAACAAUCCUCUAGCGAUUUGAUGAUUGAAUGUAUCAAAUCAAGCCAAAGCUGUUCCCAAAAUUGAUUCAAUCUAGUUACUAAUGUUAAUGUCAACUCAAUCGAUAAUUACAAUUGAGUUAGCUUUUAUAAACAAAAUUUAUACUCUUUAGUACGACUCAGAAACCUUAAUCAUGUAAAGUUGAAACAUUUUCACUUUAAUCUUUUUGACAUGUUUAAGGUUUGCUCAGCUUGUUGAAUUUGAAGACUAUUUCCAGCACAUUCUUGUUGACAUUCAACCUUGAAAUGACCAUGAAGAUUCAGUUUUAUUCAGCUGUGAAAUUCAACUCUUUCAGUUUACACAGCAAAAACAUGAUUAAGCUUACUCCAGUAUCAACAACUUACACAAAAAAUAGUCAACAUUUAACCUUGUUUAUUAUGAAGAUGUUAAUUUGCCUCUAUUUUACAUCAUCCUAAUCAUCAUCAUUCAUUCAUCUAGUAUUUGUUUACUGGAGUUGACAUUGGACCAGAAAUAUUAAGGAUAAAGAUGAUAAUAUUGAUGAGUCUCGAAAGAUGGAAAGACAAGAAAGUCAAUACAAAGUAUACGCUGAAAUGAAACUGGAUCAGUAAAGAUUUGUGAUUCACUUUGACCAUCCAACUAUCAACUUAAUUCACUAAUAAGCAAACUAAAUCAACUAUUACAUGAAGCAAACAUGAUUACAACAAAGCAUCGUAUUACUGGACUUGAACAACGUAUUACAAUAUUAUAAAGAAACCGUCCAAAUCUCAUAUUUGAUCAAAUUGCAAAUUUUAACCCUCUCUCAAUGUUGCCUCAACAAAAGGGGACUGAAAGGCCAAUUAUCAUCUAAUUGAACCAAUCAACAAACCAUAGUUAAUCAUAUAUUGUCACAUUUACCAUGAUUACAAGUGAAUUAAUGAAUAAAUCUGAAUAAUUCAUUAUUUUCUCUCACAUUAUAACUGUCCUUUUGCCAUUCACAGUUUCAACCCAUGAUAACAUUCAAUAUUGUAAUCAUUUGAAGAUUACCAUUUUGUGGCCAUCUUUUUUUUUACAUUCAAACAUUGCUUCAAUCCAAUGAAUUGCGUGAUUAUGAAUACAAAUUGACAGUUAAAUAGAUUUGCGUGAAAAAAUCACUUUAUAAGCCUCAUAUUGACAUGUAUACAAGCAUUAAUAUAUCAUUAUCAUUACCUUUAUGAUUAAAUGUUGAACCAGAUU